rnacentral:rRNA from 1 species
GUAGGUGGCAAGCGUUGUCCGGAAUUAUUGGGGCGUAAAGCGCGCGCAGGCGGUUCUUUAAGCCUGAUGUGAAAGCCCACGGGCUCAACCGUGGAGGGUCAUUGGAAACUGGAGAACUUGAGUACAGAAGAGGAAAGCGGAAUUCCACGUGUAGCGGUGAAAUGCGUAGAGAUGUGGAGGAACACCAGUGGCGAAGGCGGCUUUCUGGUCUGUAACUGACGCUGAGGCGCGAAAGCGUGGGGAGCAAACAGGAUUAGAUACCCUGGUAGUCCACGCCGUAAACGAUGAGUGCUAAGUGUUAGGGGGUUUCCGCCCCUUAGUGCUGCAGCUAACGCAUUAAGCACUCCGCCUGGGGAGUACGGCCGCAAAGGCUG